rnacentral:rRNA from 1 species
GACCGAGGUUGCAAACGUUGUUCGGAAUCACUGGGCAUAAAGCGCACGUAGGCGGUCUGUUAAGUCAGGUGUGAAAGCCCCCGGCUCAACCGGGGAAUAGCAUUUGAUACUGGCAGACUCGAGGAUGGUAGGGGUGAGUGGAACUCCAGGUGGAGCGGUGAAAUGCGUAGAUAUCUGGAGGAACACCGGUGGCGAAAGCGGCUCACUGGACCAUAACUGACGCUGAGGUGCGAAAGCUAGGGUAGCAAACGGG